AAGAAGUGGACGAAGGCUGAAGAAGCAAUCUCUGCCUCCCUAUCGCUGCGUCCUGCUCCUCAAUAUGUCACCUUAGUCAUGGCCGCCUUAUCCCUCAUGCUGCUGAUUUGAAUCUGCCCUACUCUUCUUCUCCUAGACUGCUCGAGCGCUUCAGCGGGUGCCUUGCCGACGACAGGGAAGGAAGGACCAGAAAGCCACGAAAUUGAGGUACGCAGAAGAUGAAGAAACCUGAGAAUUGAUGAUCGAAUGAAGAGUCGGAGCUCGAGCAUCACAUAGUCGUCAGCUAUGGUGGCUUGUGGGCGGAUGUUUCUCAGACCUAAGUUGUUGCCGCUGGACCGUGGUUACAUUCAUCCUAGCUUGGAGGAAAUGGUGCGGGAAGAUAUGCAUGUGUAGGGCGAAGAAGUGGACGAAGGCCGAAGUAGCAAUCUCUGCCUCCCUAUCGCUGCGUCCUGCUCCUCAAUAUGUCACCUUAGUCAUGGCCGCCUUAUCCCUCAUGCUGCUGAUUUGAAUCUGCCCUACUCUUCUUCUCCUAGACUGCUCGAGCGCUUCAGCGGGUGCCUUGCCGACGACAGGGAAGGAAGGACCAGAGUAAGUAUAAUAUGGAAGUUCCUGUUCAAAUUAGUAGAAUAUGCUUACCAGGUGUUAGAAUUUAUAGAUAUAUACCACAAUUUUCACUACAGAUUAAAUAUAAUAUGAAAGUUCUUGUCAGUUUUCUUUGUAGUUAGUUUGCGACAAUCACAACAUGAUCAUUUGAAUAUUUUGUUGUAACAAAUCUAUUAUAGCUAUUGUUGUGAAAGAAAAAUCCUUAAAAAAUCA